rnacentral:rRNA from 1 species
UACGGAGGGUGCAAGCGUUGUCCGGAUUUAUUGGGUUUAAAGGGUGCGUAGGCGGCCCGUUAAGUCAGUGGUGAAAGCCUCCAGCUCAACUGGAGAACUGCCAUUGAUACUGACGGGCUUGAGUACAGACGAGGUUGGCGGAAUUGAUUGUGUAGCGGUGAAAUGCAUAGAUACAAUCAAGAAUUCCGAUUGCGUAGGCAGCUAACUAGGCUGUAACUGACGCUGAGGCACGAAAGCGUGGGGAGCGAACAGG